GUUUGAAGAAAAUGUCGACGUGGAUGCUUUGGGAGCAUUGCGCCUCUCUCAUACAAUUAUCACCACGAUGCUUCACUUCAAUCUGCACAAUUCUUGGCAAAUAAACUUGUACAAAAGGCUAGUUGUUUACUUGGCUGGCAGAGAUCAAUGCAGAGCGGAUGAGGCUUUACUUUUUUCAUUAAUUCUAUUACUGCCAUAUGGUAACCAAGUCCAAACAUUAUAAACUACACUUUGGAAGGCUAAAUUUAACCCAAUGACUCCAGGAAAGAUUUACUGUAACAAAAUGCUGUUGGCAUUAAGGAGAUUGAGAGCUACAAUCAGCUGAAUAACCUACCAACCUACACAUUCCUUAAAGUAGUAUUACACUCUGGCAACAAGUAAAUCCAUAUGUAGUAUGCACGGCUGCAUGUCAGCCAAUUUCCUUUUUAAAAUCAGGUUUAAACUCUCAUAUCUGUGGUACAUCUUGUUGCAUUUCUAAUAAAUUGACA